rnacentral:rRNA from 1 species
UACGUAGGGUGCGAGCGUUAAUCGGAAUUACUGGGCGUAAAGCGUGCGUGGGCGGUUCGUUAAGUUGGUUGUGAAAGCCCCGGGCUCAACCUGGGAAUGGCAAUGGAAACUGGCGGGCUGGAGUAUGGCAGAGGGGGGUGGAAUUCCGCGUGUAGCAGUGAAAUGCGUAGAGAUGCGGAGGAACACCGAUGGCGAAGGCAGCCCCCUGGGCCAAUACUGACGCUCAGGCACGAAAGCGUGGGGAGCAAACAGG